rnacentral:rRNA from 1 species
AUGCUCAGCCACGAACAGAACCAACUCCAUCUCUCUCUCCCUAACUACAGAGCAGGUCGCCGCCGGCUCGAUCUGCCACUUCCGGACAUCUCCGGCGACACCGUGGACACCCACAGAAUCCCCUCGACUCCCUCUACCAUAUCCCCCCAUUUAUUUGAUCCGCCGCCGCCAAAAUCGCCGCCACCCUCAAACCCCAGCGUCGUCUGCAUCGGGUCCGAUGGGUUCACCACGGGCCGCAGUAGCAAUGGCAUAUCCCUGCCUACAACCUCCUCCAGCAGAGCUGCACGCACGAGGCAUGCAACUACGGCCGUCGGGAGCGAGCAUCUUAACCGGCGCGGCUCCGGCAACAUGGCCGCUACCGGCGCCUGGCUCGCCUUUGUCUACUGCUACUAG